rnacentral:rRNA from 1 species
UACAGAGGGUGCGAGCGUUGUCCGGAAUCACUGGGCGUAAAGGGCGCGUAGGUGGCUUGUUAAGCGUGUGGUGAAAGCCCGGGGCUCAACCCCGGGUCUGCCGUGCGGACUGGCAAGCUCGAGCAUAGUAGAGGCGAGUGGAAUUUCGGGUGUAGCGGUGGAAUGCGUAGAUAUCCGAAAGAACACCGGUGGCGAAGGCGGCUCGCUGGGCUAUUGCUGACACUGAUGCGCGACAGCGUGGGGAGCAAACAGG